rnacentral:rRNA from 1 species
CAGCCGCCGCGGUAAUACGUAGGGUGCAAGCGUUAAUCGGAAUUACUGGGCGUAAAGCGUGCGCAGGCGGUUAUAUAAGACAGAUGUGAAAUCCCCGGGCUCAACCUGGGAACUGCAUUUGUGACUGUAUAGCUAGAGUACGGCAGAGGGGGAUGGAAUUCCGCGUGUAGCAGUGAAAUGCGUAGAUAUGCGGAGGAACACCGAUGGCGAAGGCAAUCCCCUGGGCCUGUACUGACGCUCAUGCACGAAAGCGUGGGGAGCAAACAGGAUUAGAUACCCGGGUAGUCCCUGUCUCUUAUAA